GUUUGAUCCUGGCUCAGAAUUAACGCUGGCGGCAUGCCUAAGACAUGCAAGUCGAACGAGAAAGCAUCUUCGGGUGUGAGUAGAGUGGCGCACGGGUGAGUAGUACUUAGGUAACUUACCCUCUCGCUGGGGAUAACUAGGGGAAACCCUAGCUAAUACCGAAUGCCCCAAUUUUUUCUGCGGAUUAAAUUGGGAAAGCUUCACAGCGCGAGAGGAGAGGCCUGAGCCCCAUUAGCUUGAUGGUAAGGUAACGGCUUACCAUGGCACCGAUGGGUAGCUGGUCUGAGAGGAUGAUCAGCCACACUGGCACUGGAACACGGGCCAGACUCCUACGGGAGGCAGCAGUUAGGAAUAUUGCGCAAUGGAGGAAACUCUGACGCAGCAAUGCCGCGUGAGUGAGGAAGGCUUUCGGGUUGUAAAGCUCUUUUAGUGGGGAAGAAAAAAAUGACGGUACCCACAGAAAAAGCACCGGCUAACUCCGUGCCAGCAGCCGCGGUAAUAAGGGCGAAUU
rnacentral:rRNA from 1 species